rnacentral:lncRNA from 1 species
ACUGUUUAUUCAACAGGUAAUAGUAAUGUUAACCAACUUUUUUUAGCUUUUUUAUUUGAUAUUUGGUAAGAUGCUGUGUUUACUGAAAUUGCAAUAGAGAAAACUCAUCGUUCUAAAAGUAAUACACGCAUUUUCACAAAAACAUGAACUAGUGUAAAACACCAAUUCAACCACGAUGCAUCAUUAUGUGAUUCACAUUUAAAACAACUUCAUAUGUUAUCAAAUACUCAAAUCAUCAAGCUCUCUUAUUUCAAAUAUGGGAGUAGUUAUCCUUAUAAUAGAUAAUAUUGCAUAAAAUACAAAUCUGUUGGUUGUUUGUUUUCCAUAUUUACCUGCGCAUUCUUAUGGAGGUCUGGGACAUUGGGGGGGAGAGCCUAUUGUUGAUUUUUUUGACUGUUUUUAACUAUUUUAUCUGUUUUGCAAAAUACAAAGCUAUUAUUUUAAUUUCAACAUCCAUUGAUUCUAAUAUUAUUUAUCUGGUUUUUUAACGCUUAUUUCUGUACCUUUUUUUGCCACCAUUAGAUUGGUUUUAUUCUAUUAUAUCCAUCUAGCUGCUAUGUUACUGAUCUUUCUGCGGUCCAUGCCAUGCGUAUAAUCCUAGGUAGUUUGGUUCUUUAUAUUUUGACUUCUGAUCCGCGUCAAAUUUUUUUUCGCAAUAUGUAUAUAUAAACGUUGCAUCAAGAAUUUUACUUCGACAAAAGUGAGAGCAACUGAGGGUAGGGGUAUUAUGUGUAUAAUUUGCAACAAUUUAUUUCCAUUUUAAAAAUGGAAAAUUUAAUGGGAACACGGGACGGAAAAAAAAAUUGGCGUGCUUCGCAAUUUUUAUUUUCCGGUAAAAUUUUUGAAUCCUUUUGACUUAGUUGAGUAUUUGUGUGAGGAGAAUGACUAAUGUUAACAGAUAGUGGGGAAGUGGGGGUUCUGGCGACUCUGAGGUAAUGCAAACCCUAUGGGAGUGAGGUUAACCUCCCAGAGUUAACCUCCCUAAUAAAUGAUAUCAUGAUACAGUGUUCAAUCAUUAAUUAGUUUGGUUUUUUUUUUUUUGUGGUAUUUGAUUAUCAUCAAUGUAAUUGAUUGCUGUUAUUGAUUAUUGCUAUAUAGAUGUUUAUGCCUUUUGUAUAUCGAUUAAAGAUUUUAUCCAUGCAAAUACGAGAACGAGAGUGUCCAAUAUGUUAGUUCUGUGUGAUUCUAUUCCUAAGGAGAUUUUUUUUAAAGUUUCUGCUUCUUGGUACCACACUAGUAAUAAUAACAACAAUAGUAUGUACAAUAUUUAAUAUCCCCGUCAAUUUAGACAGACAUGGGUCGGAGAACCAUCCGCAUGAUGUCUUUACAAAAUUACAAAAUCACCUUAACCAAUUUAUACAUCGAGAUAAUAGAAAAAGAGAGUCUUAUAUCACUCAACAGUAUCUAUACUCUAUGAACUGGGCCGCAACGUUGGCUAGUAUUGUUCUCACAGCUACGCUUGGUUAUUAUGGGGCGCCGGUGACUAUCUUGUUGUUAUGGGAAGUCGUCUGUUCAUGUCCCGUGAAAUUGGUGAACUGAAUCAGUUGACGAAUAAAUCAGAUUGACAACUGUGUUGUUAAUCAUCUCGACCAUGUGUAAACGUUACAAGAGAGGUAGUAGAAGAUCGAGGUGUUAUUUCCCGUUCUCUAGUAAUGAAAUAUAUAACCCGAUCUUCACUCCUCUCUGUUCGUUUGUCACAGUGGUCGAAUAGAACAACUGUUGUGAAUUCUUUUAUUUUCGUCAGUACCAAUUUUCACGGAUUGAAGUAUGCACCAAAAACAAAAAGAUAGGUCACCGUAUGGCCGACAUAGAAAAAAAACACAAGUUUUGUGUUGUCAUAUUUGUAAAUACCGUGUCAGAGUUAUGCUUCUUUGCAUGUGUCAAAAUGUAGCUUACGUUGAUGUAAGAUCUAUAGGUUUUGAUCACAGGCACUCGUCUUAGAAUUUUUUUUUCCUAUAUAUAUAUCUUUCUAUAAAGGUAUAUAGGAUUUUUUUUCUAAGACGAGUGCCUGUGGUUUUGAUGGUCUUUGAAAAGGGAAUAUUAGAGUUUGUUUAAAGCCAACUUCUACGAGAUAACAUUUAAAAUGAACAAAAAAAAGUGUUUUUUUUUCCUGUUCUCAAACUGUUUUCAAAUACGAAAUAAACAUUUCUUAACACACAAUUAAUGUUUAUGUACACGAACUGUGUGUCUAUCGAAUGUGCCAACAGGUUUUUUUUAAAUGUACAAAAAUGUGUAAAUUUUUAUAUGUAUUUUUUUACAUAUACGAAACAAUAAUUUUAAAUAAUCUGUAUGUUCUAGGUGCUGUGGUUGGCCUUGCAGUAGGUAUGGCAGUGGUUGCCUUCAUACUAGGAUUCGGAGCUAUCUAUAUGUUCUACAAAAGAAACGGGGGAUCAUUUGUGAAAUCAGACAAGCCCAUGGAUAACCCUGCAUAUGAAAAUGCAUCUUAAUAAUUAUAUACAAGGUUUAAAAAAUACUCAUAAAUCAUUGAACCAUUAUAAAUUUGUAUAUCCGUGCAGUCGUGCUAAUGUAAUGUAAGCGUUAUAUAUAUUUUUCAGUUAUGUUGAAAUGGAAGUAAAUUGUAUAACUCGUUCCCUACAAAUUAGGCUAUGGUACAAUGUAAUGACAUAAAGACACCGAUUAUUUGAUAGAAUUUAAAUAUAACUUCCUAAACAUUAACCGCCAUUGUAACACAAAAAUGUCUAUUGAUAUUAAUAAAUGAACUUUGUCAUAAUUUCACUCUAGUAUAACAUUAAUGGCAUAACAUGAACCAUAUCCCCAUGACAUUUCAAGAGGAGCUUCUGUUUAGUUUCAUGUUGAGGCUCAUGUUUCUGUUUAGUUUCAUGUUGAGGCUCAUGUUUCUGUUUAGUUUCAUGUUGAGGCUCAUGUGUUUGAAAUCCUAGGGCUAAAAUUGUGAGAACGGUCAAAAUUUUACAGCCUACUAACUUCAAAAAGUCAUUCGAUUCACAUAUUUCUUUUUAUGCUAUGAUAUUGUAAUUUAGCCUCAAAUCAAACUUUCAACUUCGUUCUUUUUUUAAUAUAUCUACGUUUAUGUGUAAUGUUGUCGAGCGGAGAAUGUGCAGUCAUGAAUGUCGGGAUUUUAUUUGAAAUAAACAAUAAUUUUAAAUAACACGAUAGUUUUGUCUGCCAAUAAUUGUCAUUCC